CCUAGUGACAAUAGGACGUUCAAUGCACCACGUACCCCCUGGAUCACUGAAGUUGAGCAAAUUUGAGCGUGCUCAUUAUCUGGAUGGGUGACCACCAGGGAAAUCUCGUAGUGCUGGCU
rnacentral:rRNA from 1 species